AGGCAGCUAGCAGGAUCACGAGGUUGGAUUCCCGGUUCAUGCAUGCAGGAUCCAGUCUGUUUCCUGCUUCCGCAGAAGCACCGGUCUCUGUCUCUCUGACGCCCAACAAUGCAGACACCUCUUCCUUUUUUUCCACUUUGAUACCACAGUACCCGCACAAGCACAAUCGCUCCUCCAGGAAGACAUGAUGUGUGCUCUAGCGCGGCGACGGGAGCCGCUUCCACCUACCCCAGCGACCCCAACCACCGUGGAUCUCUCUGCUCCUCCCGCCUUCAUUGAUGGCAUCUCCGGCCGCGUGCUGCCCUGCAUCGCGCUGCUGGAAGCGGGGGAAACCUCCGCUCCCCGUCUCGUUGACCGGGUCUCCGGGCGGGUUCUCCCAUGUGUGGCCCUGCGCGAGAUGGAUCCUGCCGAGAAUCGGAGAUGGAAAGGUGUUGAGCAAGUGCAUCCAGCCGGAUGCGCCGUGGCCAGUUCAUGCCAUAGGACUUCGGGACCUUCGGACCCAGCCUGGUGAAAUCGACCACACCUUCCUUAUCAACCAUGAACUCGAUCUAUGGGCCAAAGAGACUUGGUGGGGAGAGGAGGCGGCCGACCUUCUCCAUCAAAACACCGACAAGCUCCCCAGCGCUCGGCCACGACACUGGCUGCCUCCACCAUCUCGAUCUGGAAAAAAGGGUGAAAGUACGCUAUGUUCCAUCACUGCCAUGCGCGUAGGAUAGAGUUCCAUCACCUGAAAGAGAACAAAUCAACAUGUACCUCCAGUUUAUUCCAGCAGCACACCAGGAGUCCUACAGAGAAACUACAUGCUUCCUACAGAGCAACUACAUUAAUUCUCCCUUUAUAUACAACGGCAACAUGAAUCUUGUAAUCUGAAACUGCUACAUUUUCCACAUUGUAAUAUGAAUUUUAAUCCAUCAACUAUUCAGUUGAAUCACCCAAGCAUCAUCAAGGUUGUAGUAACGAAGAGAGAAAAGAGCAUUGUAAUGUAAUCAUCUCGUUGCA